CAGUAGCUCAGCUGGAUAGAGUGUUGGCCUCCGGAGCCAAAGGUCGUGGGUUCAAAUCCCGUCUG
rnacentral:tRNA from 1 species